AACGAACGCUGGCGGCAGGCUUAACACAUGCAAGUCGAGCGCCCCGCAAGGGGAGCGGCAGACGGGUGAGUAACGCGUGGGAACGUACCCUUAUCUUCGGGAUAGCUCCGGGAAACUGGAAUUAAUACCGAAUGUGCCCUUUGGGGGAAAGAUUUAUCGGAUAAGGAUCGGCCCGCGUUGGAUUAGCUAGUUGGUGGGGUAAAGGCCUACCAAGGCGACGAUCCAUAGCUGGUCUGAGAGGAUGAUCAGCCACAUUGGGACUGAGACACGGCCCAAACUCCUACGGGAGGGCGGCGGUGGGAAUAAUGGACCAUUGGGCGAAGGCCUAAUCCGCCCAGGCGGGGGAGGUAAUAAGGGCUUUGGGUUUGAAAGCUCUUUCACCGGAGAAGAUAAUGACGGUAUCCGGAGAAGAAGCCCCGGCUAACUUCGUG
rnacentral:rRNA from 1 species